rnacentral:rRNA from 2 species
AGCGUACACGGUGGAUGCCCUGGCAGUCAGAGGCGAUGAAGGACGUGCUAAUCUGCGAUAAGCGUCGGUAAGGUGAUAUGAACCGUUAUAACCGGCGAUUUCCGAAUGGGGAAACCCAGUGUGUUUCGACACACUAUCAUUAACUGAAUCCAUAGGUUAAUGAGGCGAACCGGGGGAACUGAAACAUCUAAGUACCCCGAGGAAAAGAAAUCAACCGAGAUUCCCCCAGUAGCGGCGAGCGAACGGGGAGCAGCCCAGAGCCUGAAUCAGUGUGUGUGUUAGUGGAAGCGUCUGGAAAGGCGCGCGAUACAGGGUGACAGCCCCGUACACAAAAAUGCACAUGCUGUGAGCUCGAUGAGUAGGGCGGGACACGUGGUAUCCUGUCUGAAUAUGGGGGGACCAUCCUCCAAGGCUAAAUACUCCUGACUGACCGAUAGUGAACCAGUACCGUGAGGGAAAGGCGAAAAGAACCCCGGCGAGGGGAGUGAAAAAGAACCUGAAACCGUGUACGUACAAGCAGUGGGAGCACGCUUAGGCGUGUGACUGCGUACCUUUUGUAUAAUGGGUCAGCGACUUAUAUUCUGUAGCAAGGUUAACCGAAUAGGGGAGCCGAAGGGAAACCGAGUCUUAACUGGGCGUUAAGUUGCAGGGUAUAGACCCGAAACCCGGUGAUCUAGCCAUGGGCAGGUUGAAGGUUGGGUAACACUAACUGGAGGACCGAACCGACUAAUGUUGAAAAAUUAGCGGAUGACUUGUGGCUGGGGGUGAAAGGCCAAUCAAACCGGGAGAUAGCUGGUUCUCCCCGAAAGCUAUUUAGGUAGCGCCUCGUGAAUUCAUCUCCGGGGGUAGAGCACUGUUUCGGCAAGGGGGUCAUCCCGACUUACCAACCCGAUGCAAACUGCGAAUACCGGAGAAUGUUAUCACGGGAGACACACGGCGGGUGCUAACGUCCGUCGUGAAGAGGGAAACAACCCAGACCGCCAGCUAAGGUCCCAAAGUCAUGGUUAAGUGGGAAACGAUGUGGGAAGGCCCAGACAGCCAGGAUGUUGGCUUAGAAGCAGCCAUCAUUUAAAGAAAGCGUAAUAGCUCACUGGUCGAGUCGGCCUGCGCGGAAGAUGUAACGGGGCUAAACCAUGCACCGAAGCUGCGGCAGCGACGCUGAUGCGUUGUUGGGUAGGGGAGCGUUCUGUAAGCCUGCGAAGGUGUGCUGUGAGGCAUGCUGGAGGUAUCAGAAGUGCGAAUGCUGACAUAAGUAACGAUAAAGCGGGUGAAAAGCCCGCUCGCCGGAAGACCAAGGGUUCCUGUCCAACGUUAAUCGGGGCAGGGUGAGUCGACCCCUAAGGCGAGGCCGAAAGGCGUAGUCGAUGGGAAACAGGUUAAUAUUCCUGUACUUGGUGUUACUGCGAAGGGGGGACGGAGAAGGCUAUGUUGGCCGGGCGACGGUUGUCCCGGUUUAAGCGUGUAGGCUGGUUUUCCAGGCAAAUCCGGAAAAUCAAGGCUGAGGCGUGAUGACGAGGCACUACGGUGCUGAAGCAACAAAUGCCCUGCUUCCAGGAAAAGCCUCUAAGCAUCAGGUAACAUCAAAUCGUACCCCAAACCGACACAGGUGGUCAGGUAGAGAAUACCAAGGCGCUUGAGAGAACUCGGGUGAAGGAACUAGGCAAAAUGGUGCCGUAACUUCGGGAGAAGGCACGCUGAUAUGUAGGUGAAGUCCCUUGCGGAUGGAGCUGAAAUCAGUCGAAGAUACCAGCUGGCUGCAACUGUUUAUUAAAAACACAGCACUGUGCAAACACGAAAGUGGACGUAUACGGUGUGACGCCUGCCCGGUGCCGGAAGGUUAAUUGAUGGGGUCAGCGCAAGCGAAGCUCUUGAUCGAAGCCCCGGUAAACGGCGGCCGUAACUAUAACGGUCCUAAGGUAGCGAAAUUCCUUGUCGGGUAAGUUCCGACCUGCACGAAUGGCGUAAUGAUGGCCAGGCUGUCUCCACCCGAGACUCAGUGAAAUUGAACUCGCUGUGAAGAUGCAGUGUACCCGCGGCAAGACGGAAAGACCCCGUGAACCUUUACUAUAGCUUGACACUGAACAUUGAGCCUUGAUGUGUAGGAUAGGUGGGAGGCUUGGAAGUGUGGACGCCAGUCUGCAUGGAGCCGACCUUGAAAUACCACCCUUUAAUGUUUGAUGUUCUAACGUUGACCCGUAAUCCGGGUUGCGGACAGUGUCUGGUGGGUAGUUUGACUGGGGCGGUCUCCUCCUAAAGAGUAACGGAGGAGCACGAAGGUUGGCUAAUCCUGGUCGGACAUCAGGAGGUUAGUGCAAUGGCAUAAGCCAGCUUGACUGCGAGCGUGACGGCGCGAGCAGGUGCGAAAGCAGGUCAUAGUGAUCCGGUGGUUCUGAAUGGAAGGGCCAUCGCUCAACGGAUAAAAGGUACUCCGGGGAUAACAGGCUGAUACCGCCCAAGAGUUCAUAUCGACGGCGGUGUUUGGCACCUCGAUGUCGGCUCAUCACAUCCUGGGGCUGAAGUAGGUCCCAAGGGUAUGGCUGUUCGCCAUUUAAAGUGGUACGCGAGCUGGGUUUAGAACGUCGUGAGACAGUUCGGUCCCUAUCUGCCGUGGGCGCUGGAGAACUGAGGGGGGCUGCUCCUAGUACGAGAGGACCGGAGUGGACGCAUCACUGGUGUUCGGGUUGUCAUGCCAAUGGCACUGCCCGGUAGCUAAAUGCGGAAGAGAUAAGUGCUGAAAGCAUCUAAGCACGAAACUUGCCCCGAGAUGAGUUCU